CUUACGAGAUAGAGAGUAACACCCCGUUCCCACUAGACGGCACGUUUUAUUUUCCGUCGACGUUUUUUUUUUCGUUCAACGUUUUUUUUUUCUGCUGGCGCAUACAUUUAGAUUGGAGUGUUCCCAUUACAAAAGUUUUCCGUCGACGGAAAAAAAAACCGUUUGUAAUGGGAACACUCCAAUCUAAAUGCAUGCGCCAACAGAAAAAAAAACCGUUGAACGGAAAAAAACGUCGACGGAAAAUAAAACGUGCCGUGCUAGUGGGAACGGGGUGUAAUUCCGUAAAAAAUAU
rnacentral:lncRNA from 1 species